AUGGUCUCAGCCUAGAGCGGCUGCUGUUCAGCUUUGGCCCCUGAAGGGAGAACACAUCUGAGGAUGAAGAAUGGUUGAGGCAUUUGUUCCUCUGGUUUUCUCUCUGCUCCAGUGCAGUAGGCACUGGGGCAGAAGUGGUUCCUCCAUUAUUAGCAGCCCAGGGUUCUUUCAACCUGCCUACAUCUGGAAAAUACCUCCUUAUCAAACUCUUCAUCACCAGUGUCAGUUCAUGGUCAGUUUCUUUCCUGAGCCCUGACCCACACCCAGGGAAAGGCCAACCUUCCGUGGCCAAGAUGAAGCCUCUUCCACUGUCAGCUGGGCACUUCUAGGGGCUGUGAGCGCUGAAGAAUGGAGAGAUUCAGGCCAUGUGUGUGGCUCUACCUCCUGAGAAACAGGCGUUAUCAGGCCUGGGCUUUGCUCACAGCACCUGCCGGCUCCUGGGAAGAAGCCACAUCUGCCUCGAACUGCCCUGACUGCCUUUGUUACGAUACCUACCCGUGGCUUGCUUGUGCCAACUCUGAAAACACAGGGCUGCCUGAGGGAGCUCUCGUGUUAGCAAGCAGCAGCUCGUGGGUAAGGAAAGCCCCUUCAUUUAUUAACAUUAAAGUGAUUGCAAACUCGUAGGUGAGAUACUUAUGCAUUGGGCUCUGUCUGGAUAAUUCACCUGUAUUAACUCAGCCGAUCCUCUUAACUCCAUAAGGAAGGAAUCCUUAUUGUCCCCAUCUUAAAGACCUCCGAAACGAAACCAGAGAUACUGAAUGAUUUGCCUGGGAUGACUCCGCUACCACUUGGCACAGCCACGGUGCAAACCCAGUUGGGCUGGCACUGAACACCCAGACUGUAGAUCCCUCCUGCCUGACUCAAGAGCCUCUGUCUAUAUGGAAGCAAUCAACUUAAGGUCACAAGAGGCCCAUUUCAGAAUGGGUUCUGUCCCACACUCUGGAGGAAGGAAUGCUGUAUGAGGAGGCCUAGAAGAAUCUGAACAGACAGGCUUUACUGGAGUUCCCCACUCGGCCCGUUAGUAUUAGACCAGAUCUUUUUGUCCAGUCACAUUUCUACGUGGUUGCCUAUCAAAGAAGUCUCUAUAAAAAGUCCAAGAGAACAGGGUUUGGGGAGCUUCCAGGAGGCAGGAAGGUGAACAAGAAUUCAUCCACAUGCCAGACAGCUGGUGCAUCCCAAAUCCAUGGAGACAGAAGCUCCUGCACUCAGACCCUUCCAGACCUCACCCUACAUGUUUCUUCAUCUGGCUGUGUAUUUGUAUCCUUUGAAAUAUCCUUUGUAAUAAACUGUUAAACAUAAGUUCUGUGAGUCACUCUAGCAAAUUCACUAAGCCCAAGGAAGGGCUUUUGGGAACUCCAAUUUACAGCCCCUCGGGCAGAAGCCCUGGUAAAACAACCCGGGGCUUGUGAUUGGCACUGAAAUUGGGUGGGAAGCAGUCUCGGGGACUCAGCCCUCAACCUGCGGGACCUGGUGCUAUCUCCACGGAAUUGCAUUAGAGGACACCCAGCUUGGGCCUGCUGCAGAACUGAUUGCUUGCUUUGUGUGUAUGGGAAACCCCUCCCUGCCACAUUUGAUCACAGAGGUCUUCUGUGUUGAUUGUUGUGAGUGACAGAAUAGAAAAAGCACUUUCAUUGAGUUCUUGUGUUCCACUCAGACCUGCCAAGCUGAAAAUAUUUACAGUCUGGUGCUUUAUAAAAACGCGUAAUGAGUUAGAGCACCAGCUUAGAUAUGGGUUGGAGUCCUGGCUCCUUACUGCGCCAAAUGACCUUGAGUGGGUUCCCUCGCCUUUCUGUGCCUCCCUAUCCUCCAAUGUAAAGUAGGAGCAAAUCAGUGCCCUGCCUGCAAAGCACUUAGCAUGGUGCCCAGGCGUGGCAGGCACUCAAUCAAUGACAGUCAAUGCUAUUAUCUUGACCGACACGACCUUAUUUGAUCUUCCAAACUACCCAGUAAAGCAUUAUCCCCAUUAUCUCCAUUUCUCUGAUGAAGGCAGUUGGCUUAGAAUAAAUCAGAACUUGCGCAGGUUAAAAGUGAGUGACUGGCACAGCCAUGGCAAGGGGCCUUGGACUGAUUUUCUUCAUUUUCUUGCUGUCUACACCCACUGGGCAAGCAGCAGCGUGAAAGAAAAUGAAGUCCACCAACCCAAAACCA
rnacentral:lncRNA from 1 species